rnacentral:tRNA from 1 species
GGAGAGGUGUCUGAGUGGUUGAAGGUGGCGGCCUCGAAAGUCGCUGUUUCGCAUUGCGGAACCCAGGGUUCGAAUCCCUGCCUCUCCG